GUUGAUAGAGGCGCGAAGAGAAAGAGUCACCGUCGGAGGGGGCGCCCGGAGAUGACGGUAAAAGGUCGAUUCGCCGAAACGGUUCAUCCGGCAGGAUAAGCCAGUUGGGCACAGAGAGAAUAUCCCUGUGACUCCUGCUUCAGCAAUGAAGUGGAGGAGCUA
rnacentral:ncRNA from 1 species